CCUACGGGGGGCAGCAGUCGAGAAUCAUUCACAAUGGGGGAAACCCUGAUGGUGCGACGCCGCGUGGGGGAAUGAAGGUCUUCGGAUUGUAAACCCCUGUCAUGUGGGAGCAAAUUAAAAAGAUAGUACCACAAGAGGAAGAGACGGCUAACUCUGUACCAGCAGCCGCGGUAAUACAGAGGUCUCAAGCGUUGUUCGGAAUCACUGGGCGUAACGCGUGCGUAGGCUGUUUCGUAAGUCGUGUGUGAAAGGCGCGGGCUCAACCCGCGGACGGCACAUGAUACUGCGAGACUAGAGUAAUGGAGGGGGAACCGGAAUUCUCGGUGUAGCAGUGAAAUGCGUAGAUAUCGAGAGGAACACUCGUGGCGAAGGCGGGUUCCUGGACAUUAACUGACGCUGAGGCACGAAGGCCAGGGGAGCGAAAGGGAUUAGAUACCCCAGUAGUC
rnacentral:rRNA from 1 species